rfam:Cavia porcellus supercont2_15 genomic scaffold, whole genome shotgun sequence.
GGGGAUUUAGCUCAGUGGUAUAAGCGCCUGCCUUGCAAGCAGGCAGUUGUGAGUUCGAUCCCCACAGUACCGA